rnacentral:rRNA from 1 species
UCUGCUUGCAGAACUUGCAUACAGGUGCUGCACGGCUGUCGUCAGCUCGUGUCGUGAGAUGUUGGGUUAAGUCCCGCAACGAGCGCAACCCUCGUCCUUAGUUGCUAACAGUUCGGCUGAGAACUCUAAGGAGACUGCCUACGCAAGUAGGAGGAAGGUGAGGAUGACGUCAAGUCAUCAUGGCCCUUACGUCCAGGGCUACACACGUGCUACAAUGGGGUAUACAAAGAGCAGCAAUACGGUGACGUGGAGCAAAUCUCAAAAAUGCCUCCCAGUUCGGAUUGUAGUCUGCAACUCGACUACAUGAAGUUGGAAUCGCUAGUAAUCGUAGAUCAGCUAUGCUACGGG